GUGUCGGGUUGGUGGUGGUGGAGUGCGGACCAGUCGAGACUCCCUCGCACACGUAAGGGCAUGAAACGGAGCCGGGAGUACACGAGGCGAGUCAGUGCGCUAUCGACUGCGAUCGGAGGAGGACGACGUGCGUCGAGCCGAGUCGACGAGUCCUCCGUCGAGUGCCCGAACUGAACUUUGCCGAAGUUCCUCCAAACGUCGCCGAUGACACGGAGGAAUACGUAAUCUCCGUGGCGGUGAACGGAGUUCUGGGAUUAUAUCGAGCAACGGAUCUCUCAAUUACACGUGCCCGGACGAGCGGAUUUGUGGAUUAUACCUGUCCCGUUCAGGGAAAUACAAGUGUAUUUUGUCGUUGAGUGCGUGCGGGGGUGCGUGAAUCGACGGGGAGAGUGAGCCGGUGGUGGUCCAUGAGGGGAAGAUGAGCGACCACGUGGUGAAAAGUACGUGCGAGCUUUCAGCCUACGUGACAGGAGCGGCGAACCGACGCGUCGGGAGAAAUCGCAAGGAGCGCGGACGAGGGAGCCGAGGGACUUAGGUGCAACAGCGGCCAUAAAGCAAGAUUAAUGAGGCGAAGUGCGCUCUGGUAGGAAGCUGUCAGGGUCCUGGCGCCAGCUGACCAGACGACUCGGCUCGCACAGCCGUAUCGACCACACGUACACCCGUUACACCCACACGCACAUUCGCCAACUAUGAUCCAAAUCCUCUCUCUUUCUUCCGCGCCGUUCGCGUCGGAACGAGCGAGUCCGCUCGAUCCGCGUUCUCGAGGAGCGAGAAAGGAGAGAGACCGCGCGAGAGAGCGUAAUUUAACAACAAUUAAUGGACCGGCGUAACGAUAAGGAUGCCGGGAAAGAAAUUAGAGGGAAGCACGGCGGAGAAAUAAAGAGCACAUCCGACAAAGGGACGAACGAGUAAUGAGGAUUCGCGAGGCGCACUCUCGCCGGAAACGGGGAAAUUUAAUACAGCAAUAUCUCAUAUUAAUAUUAAUUAUCUGAUACUUUAGACUCUCGUGGUGUGCGAAAUGAGUGAUAUCCCGCGGAGCAUAUCGUGCCUGCUUGCCCUGCUUGCAUUCGCGUAUCGACACGUUUCAUCUCGGGUGUCGAUCGCGAUCGGAAAAUGCCCGCCUCUUAUUAUCGUCUAUAAUUAUCGCUUAUAAUUAGACCGGCAAUUAAAACCGACCGGCUCGUGUCGUUCGCGACGCGAACAGGAAGAUUCGUUGCGCGAUCAAUCGUCGCUACACUAUUAUUAUUACACAUUAUCGACAUGUAUCCCUGCCUUUUUUCCUCACCUCUCCCACUGCCUCCUACCCGGCCGAUAAUUCCCGCCGCGAUCGAGAGACUGAUCGAUCUCUUUGUCGGCGAGCGAGAGGACGUGACAUUCAAGAAGCGGCGCUCUCUUCCAGGUUGCGGCCAAAGAAAACGCGGACGCGCGUCCGCACGCACGGCGGUGUGCGUGCGGUUGCCAUCUCGUCGCGGCCUUCCGCGUCGUCUUCUUCCCAGGCUGCCAUCGACGCGCUCGCGGACCAUCUCUCGGCAUCGAGAGAGCAGCCGCGUUCGGGACACCUGUCUCCGACGGUUAUCCCACGUUAAGUACAUAACCAGUUUCGCAACGCGAGCUCGAAA
rnacentral:misc_RNA from 1 species